rnacentral:rRNA from 1 species
UUUUAUGGAGAGUUUGAUCCUGGCUCAGGAUGAACGCUGGCGGCGUGCCUAAUACAUGCAAGUCGAGCGAACAGACGAGGAGCUUGCUCCUCUAACGUUAGCGGCGGACGGGUGAGUAACACGUGGAUAACCUACCUAUAAGACUGGGAUAACUUCGGGAAACCGGAGCUAAUACCGGAUAAUAUAUUGAACCGCAUGGUUCAAUAGUGAAAGUACGG